rnacentral:sRNA from 1 species
GUUUGCCCCAGAUUGAAAUGGAAAGCAUUUUGCAGUUUUGCUGCCUGAUUUUCUUAAAAUAAAAUAGCGACCAAAGGAAGCUCAUUUUAUUUUUUAGAAAAUGGCGCAAAACAAAAAAUCUUGGAAUGAAAAGCUGGAAAAAGG